rnacentral:rRNA from 1 species
UGGGGAAUAUUGCACAAUGGGCGCAAGCCUGAUGCAGCGACGCCGCGUGAAGGAUGAAGGUCUUCGGAUCGUAAACUUCUAUCAGCAGGGAAGAAAAGAAACUUAAGUUUCUAUAAUGACGGUACCUGACUAAGAAGCUCCGGCUAACUACGUGCCAGCAGCCGCGGUAAUACGUAGGGAGCAAGCGUUAUCCGGAUUUACUGGGUGUAAAGGGUGCGUAGGCGGCCUGGCAAGUUAGAAGUGAAAUUUUGGGGCUCAACCCCAGAGCUGUUUCUAAAACUACCGGGCUAGAGUGCAGGAGAGGAAAGCGGAACUCCACGUGUAGCGGUGAAAUGCGUAGAGAUGUGGAGGAACACCAGUAGCGAAGGCGGCUUUCUGGACUGUAAACUGACGCUGAGGC